CGCGUAGGUGGGAUAGUCAGUCUGUCUUAAAAGUGCGGGGCUCAACCCCGUGAUGGGGCGGAAACUGCUAUUCUUGAGUGCAGGAGAGGAAAGCGGAAUUCCCAGUGUAGCGGUGAAAUGCGUAGAUAUUGGGAGGAACACCAGUGGCGAAGGCGGCUUUCUGGACUGUGUCUGACACUGAGGCGCGAAAGCUAGGGGAGCGAACGGGAUUAGAUACCCCGGUAGUCCUAGCCGUAAACGAUGGGUACUAGGUGUAGGGGGUAUCGACCCCUCCUGUGCCGGAGUUAACGCAAUAAGUACCCCGCCUGGGGAGUACGGCCGCAAGAUUAAA
rnacentral:rRNA from 1 species